UACAGAGGUCCCAAGCGUUGUUCGGAUUCACUGGGCGUAAAGGGUGCGUAGGUGGCCGGGUAAGUCUGAUGUGAAAUCUCGGAGCUCAACUCCGAAACGGCAUUGGAUACUAUCCGGCUGGAGGGUCGGAAGGGGGACUGGAAUUCUUGGUGUAGCAGUGAAAUGCGUAGAUAUCAAGAGGAACACCAGUGGCGAAGGCGAGUCCCUGGACGACUCCUGACACUGAGGCACGAAAGCUAGGGGAGCAAACAGG
rnacentral:rRNA from 1 species